rnacentral:tRNA from 1 species
GCGGUAUUGGUGAAAUGGUUAACACGUUAGAUUGUGGCUCUAAUAUUCGCGAGUUCGAUUCUCGUAUGCCGUCCCA